UACGGGGGGGGGCAAGCGUUGUUCGGAAUUACUGGGCGUAAAGGGCUCGUAGGCGGCCAACUAAGUCAGACGUGAAAUCCCUCGGCUUAACCGGGGAACUGCGUCUGAUACUGGAUGGCUUGAGUUUGGGAGAGGGAUGCGGAAUUCCAGGUGUAGCGGUGAAAUGCGUAGAUAUCUGGAGGAACACCGGUGGCGAAGGCGGCAUCCUGGACCAACACUGACGCUGAGUGGGCGAAAGCCAGGGGAGCAAACGGG
rnacentral:rRNA from 1 species